rnacentral:rRNA from 1 species
AUUGAACGCUGGCGGCAUGCCUUACACAUGCAAGUCGAACGGCAGCACGGGAGCAAUCCUGGUGGCGAGUGGCGAACGGGUGAGUAAUAUAUCGGAACGUGCCCAGUAGUGGGGGAUAACUGCUCGAAAGAGCAGCUAAUACCGCAUACGACCUGAGGGUGAAAGGGGGGGGAUCGCAAGACCUCUCGCUCUUGGAGCGGCCGAUAUCAGAUUAGCUAGUUGGUGGGGUAAAGGCCUACCAAGGCAACGAUCUGUAGUUGGUCUGAGAGGACGACCAGCCACACUGGGACUGAGACACGGCCCAGACUCCUACGGGAGGCAGCAGUGGGGAAUUUUGGACAAUGGGCGCAGGCCUGAUCCAGCAAUGCCGCGUGCAGGAAGAAGGCCUUCGGGUUGUAAACUGCUUUUGUCAGGGAAGAAAUCCUCUAGGUUAAUACCCUUGGGGGGAUGACGGUACCUGAAGAAUAAGCACCGGCUAACUUCGUGCCAGCCGCCGCGGUAAUAC